rnacentral:lncRNA from 1 species
AAACCAGACAAACACAUCUUACCCACAAGUCCCUGCUCUCUCCCUCUCGAUUCCUUCGCCGGCGAAUUAUAGAGAGGAGCCGGCUAGACUCUCCGACAACACCUACCCCCUCGUCCCUCUCAAACUCCUACGAUCGGAGAUAUUUCCGACAACCACAGAGAACCGGCGCUGCUGGUGGUUCUCUCCGACGGGCGAGACAGCCCCCCCCACCCAACACUCACACAACUACCCCCCCCCAUUCACACUUGCAGAUCGGAAGCAACAGGAGAGCCGCUGCACAUGGAGGCGGCGACGUGGCAUCUCAGUGGCGGUGGCGGUGAUGACUGAUGAAGAUGGUGACGUGCCGAUGGUGGUUGCCGACGAUGGCAGAUGGAGCGACGACAGCCGCGGUGCAACGUUUGAAGGAAAAAAAUUGCGGAGUUGGAACAAGAUAAGAUAGAGAAGCAUGCUGUGAUGGAGAAAAUCGAAGAAAGUGCGAGGUUGUACGCCGAAAUGAACGAGAGAAUUCAAUUGCUUUCACAAAACCCGCCACCAACUUAGAUAUGUUGAACUUUAUUGUAUUUCUUUUGGAUAUUUAUCGUUGCUUUGGGUUAAUUUAGAUCUUUAUUGUUGCGUUGGGACUUGGUAUAACUUGGAUCUUUAUCAUGUUACUUUGGUUAUGUUUGAAACUUUGAGUUAUUUUUCUAUUUGGUUUUGAGUUUUUAUCUUUGGUAUAGUUUUCUUGUUUAUU